AGUGAACGCUGGCGGUAGGCCUAACACAUGCAAGUCGAACGGCAGCACAGUAAGAGCUUGCUCUUACGGGUGGCGAGUGGCGGACGGGUGAGGAAUACAUCGGAAUCUACUUUUUCGUGGGGGAUAACGUAGGGAAACUUACGCUAAUACCGCAUACGACCUACGGGUGAAAGCAGGGGAUGUUCGGGCUUUGCGCGAUUGAAUGAGCCGAUGUCGGAGUAGCUAGUUGGCGGGGUAAGGGCCCGCCAAGGCGACGAUCCGUAGCUGGUCUGAGAGGAUGAUCAGCCACACUGGAGCUGAGACACGGUCCAGACUCCUCCGGGAGGCAGCAGUGGGGAAUAUUGGAGAAUGGGCGCAAGCCUGAUGCAGCCAUACCGCGUGGGUGAAGAAGGCCUUCGGGUUGUAAAGCCCUUUUGUUGGGAAAGAAAAGCAGCAGGUUAAUACCCCGCUGUUCUGACGGUACCCAAAGAAGAAGCACCGGCUAACUUCGUG
rnacentral:rRNA from 1 species